UGGUUAAAUCAGUUAUAAAAUAUUCCAAUAAUGGAAUAAUUUGUAGUUAUUAAGAAGAGGAAAUAUCUACUUGUACUGAUAUGGAAUGAUCUAUAAGAUAUGUUAAGAAAAGGAAGUAAGAUGUAGAACAGUGUGAAUAAUACACUAGUAACUGCAUUUUUCUAAGGGCAAACACGUAUCUACUUGUUUAUGCGUAGAUUGUUUUUGGGGAAAAACAAAACAAAACAAGAAGCUGUCAAUAGUGCUGCCCCCAGAGAGGUUGACAUGUUCUUACACUAAGGACAAUAUACAAAGCAGAAAUCAGGAGGCAUUUAUAAGACUGGGUCUAAUCAGAAGUGAACACGGCAGACUUGCAUCCAAGAUAGAGUCACUAUUGUCUAUACAGCAGCCUAAAGAAGGCAGACAAGGGA
rnacentral:lncRNA from 1 species